GAUGAACGCUAGCUACAGGCUUAACACAUGCAAGUCGAGGGGAAACGACAUCGAAAGCUUGCUUUUGAUGGGCGUCGACCGGCGCACGGGUGAGUAACGCGUAUCCAACCUGCCCACCACUUGGGGAUAACCUUGCGAAAGUAAGACUAAUACCCAAUGACGUCUCUAGAAGACAUCUGAAAGAGAUUAAAGAUUUAUCGGUGAUGGAUGGGGAUGCGUCUGAUUGGCUUGUUGGCGGGGUAACGGCCCACCCAGGCGACGAUCAGUAGGGGUUCUGAGAGGAAGGGCCCCCACAUUGAGACUGAGACACGGGCCAAACUCCUACGGGAGGCAGCAGGGAGGAAGAUUGGUCAAUGGGCGAUAGCCUGAACCAGCCAAGUAGCGUGAAGGAUGACGGCCCUAUGGGUUGUAAACUGCUUUUAUAAGGGAAUAAAGUGAGUCUCGUGAGACUUUUUGCAUGUACCUUAUGAAUAAGGACCGGCUAAUUCCGUGCCAGCCGCCGCCGUAA
rnacentral:rRNA from 1 species